CGGAGGAAAAGAAACUAACAAGGAUUCCCCUAGUAACUGCGAGUGAAGCGGGAAGAGCUCAAAUUUGAAAUCUGGCGGUUCCGCCGUCCGAGUUGUAAUCUGGAGAAGCGUUUUCCGUGCCGGACCGUGUACAAGUCCCUUGGAACAGGGCGUCAUAGAGGGUGAGAAUCCCGUCUUUGACACGGACUCCCGGUGCUCUGCGAUGCGCUCUCGAAGAGUCGAGUUGUUUGGGAAUGCAGCUCAAAAUGGGUGGUAAAUUCCAUCUAAAGCUAAAUAUUGGCGAGAGACCGAUAGCGAACAAGUACCGUGAGGGAAAGAUGAAAAGCACUUUGGAAAGAGAGUAAAACAGUACGUGAAAUUGUUGAAAGGGAAACGCUUGAAGUCAGUCGCGUCUUCUGGGACUCAGCCUUGCUCUGCUCGGUGCACUUCCCAGUUUGACGGGUCAGCAUCGGCUCUGGGGGGCGGACAAAGGCGCGGGGAAGGUGGCAGCUCCGGCUGCGUUAUAGCCCCGCGUUACGCGUCCCCCGGGACCGAGGAAUCCGGCGCUCGCGCCUGGGAUGCUGGCGUAAUGGCUUUAAACGACCCGUCUUGA
rnacentral:rRNA from 1 species